rnacentral:rRNA from 1 species
UACGGGGGGAGCAAGCGUUGUUCGGAUUUACUGGGCGUAAAGGGCGCGUAGGCGGUCAGCACAAGUCAGUUGUGAAAUCUCCGAGCUUAACUCGGAAAGGUCAACUGAUACUGUGCGGCUAGAGUGCAGAAGGGGCAACUGGAAUUCUUGGUGUAGCGGUGAAAUGCGUAGAUAUCAAGAGGAACACCUGCGGCGAAGGCGGGUUGCUGGGCUGACACUGACGCUGAAGCGCGAAAGCCAGGGGAGCGAACGGG